GGGCCCAGCUGCAGAGCCGAGCAUCCCACCCACCAGUCUCACCUAAGACCCCUGUAGGGGUAGAAAAGAGAGGAACUACCACGAGGAGACCCGACAGCGAGCCAGGGACCCGCGGGAAGACAUUUAAAGGGGUUUGAGAAGACUCUUGCGAUGUCCCUGAUCAGUUGAGAGCGUUGGGAGUAAGGAGAUAAAAAGACCUGGAAAGUGCUGCUCUGAGUGUGGGAAGGUGAGGCUGGAGUGGCGCUGCCAGUUAUGCACACACUCAGCUCAGGAGACUGAGGCGUACCUAAGUAAAUUAUGCUACCAGGAAGAGUGGCUCCAGUCUGAUCCAGUGGCAGAGAAAACCCUGGCUGUGUUGGGCUUCCUUAGAAAUGGAAUGUUGCCCUCCAAAACGGUGCUUCAGGAAAUUCUGCGGUAGUUUUACCUUUGCCGAUAAAGCU